AACGCACAUUGCGCCCCUUGGCAUUCCGAGGGGCAUGCCUGUUCGAGCGUCAUUAUGAAAAAUCUCAAGCCUAUUUUUUAAAAAAAAAUUGAGGCUUGGUGUUGGGCCUUCGUCCUCAUCCCUUCUCUCCUCUCUUGAGAAGAGUGGGUAGUAGAGCGUGCCUGAAAAUCAGUGGCGGUGCCACGAUGGCCUCAAGUGUAGUAGACUUAAACUCUCGCUUUGGAUGGUCACUUGGAGUACCGCUCAUCAAUCAUUUGGAAACAGUUUGACCUCGGAUCAGGUAGGGAUACCCGCUGAACUUAA
rnacentral:misc_RNA from 1 species